UGACUGUUUAAUAGAUCAUAAAUUUAUAUACGCGGUUGCAUCAUUUGAAUCGUGAACUCUAAACUGUGUCAACUUAUUUCAGUUGCGAUACGUGUUUCUCACUUGUGGCAUCGUUUGUAAGUUCAACCAUUCGAAUACAUAUUUGAAUGAAUUCCCGUACAGGGUUCUCAUUGAAAACAGGAGGCAAGGCUCUUUGUAAACCUUUUUCGGGCCAAUGUCGAGUGACGCAGGUUCGGAAACUGCAAUACCUGGUAACUCGUCAAUGCGGAGGUGCGGUGGGUGCAAGAAGAAUGAAGGAAUUUUGCGUGGGCCGUUCGUAGCAUGAGACACUGAAACGCCAUUCGCUUGUUGCACUUUUUCAAAGCGACCAUUUC
rnacentral:misc_RNA from 1 species